GGUAAGGUGGCUGAAUAUUAAGUGAUAGACUGUAAAUCUAUUUAUGGGUAUUAAUCCCUCUUACCA
rnacentral:tRNA from 1 species